rnacentral:lncRNA from 1 species
CAUUAAUAUUUAAAAUGUUUUUUAAAGCCACUGUUUUAUACUGGCUUUGUUACACAGCAUAAGCUAAGUGCUACAACUCCUCAGGAAGCUGAGCUUUGACCAAAAGAAGUGUGGUAGCCACAGAGAUGUGUCUGAGACCCCCUUCGAGAGAGAGCCUGUGUGAGGAGUGCAGUCAGCUGAUGGGCUCCAGCUACAGAUCUCAGGGAUCUGCAUCAGUGUUCCAGCUGGUGCCAUGCUCUCCCCAGACUGCUUCUGCCACUGACUGAGCAAGGCAGGAGCUCCGUGUUGGGAGCUGAUGCUGGAAUACUGAACUAUAUCCCGAGAUCUCCAGCUGCUGAUCUCGGGGAUCUGGGGUGGCCAAGACUUUCUCAGAGUGUAUAUUAGGUGCUAGAAUAACAUCAUUUUAUUUGAUGUCAUUUUGUUAUCACAUUGAUGAAAAAAAAUUCAGUUCCCAACCUGAGCCACUGUCUGUGUGGAGUUUGCAUGUUCUGCAUGGGUUUUCAUCAGGUACUCUGGUUUCCUCCCACAUCGCAAAAAUGAGCACUUCCAGUAAAUUGGGGUGUCUAGAUGGUGCCACAGUGAGUGAGGGUGUGGGUGUGAGCAUGCCCUAUUUUUUCCUCUCCCCUUUAUCUUUCACGGUAAUCACCCCUCAUUACUCGUACUUCUAACUCCAUCUUGAAAGCUGCUUCCUGGAAGAUCCAAACGGACACAAGGAGGGACUGAAGGAUUAGAAUGAGGGAAGUAACCCAUGCACUGCUUAUUUGAGAUGGGGAACCGAAGGACUUUGGCAGUUCCUACACAGAGACAGAUGGCAGAGAUGACAAGGUUUCUCAGAGAAUGCGUGAGUAACUGGAAUGGCUUUUCCUGAUGACCCAGACAGCCUGCUCAAGAGCACACUGUUGCAGCUGCCCUCCUUGGAUGGAACUAUGGAAUGAUUUUUAUUCUUCUACUUCCCAGGUGAAUGGGAAACCAAGGACACAGUCAGCAUUUAACAAAAAGGAAUCUGCAUCUCAGUCAGAACUGUAUUGCAUUUGCUUCUCUCUGGAUUACCUUGAAGUUACUCCCCUUCCCUCAAUAAUAAUGGCAUUAUGAAAAAAAUUGGAAUUGAUCAAAUGAAGUAAAGAGUAAACAGAGGAAAGACUAC